UACGAGGGGGGCAAGCGUUGUUCGGAAUUAUUGGGCGUAAAGCGCGCGUAGGCGGCCCGGUAAGUCCGUUGUGAAAGUCAAAGGCUCAACCUUUGAACGCCGAUGGAUACUGCCGGGCUAGAGUCCGGAAGAGGCGAGUGGAAUUCCUGGUGUAGCGGUGGAAUGCGCAGAUAUCAGGAGGAACACCAAUAGCGAAGGCAGCUCGCUGGGACGGUACUGACGCUGAGGCGCGAAAGCGUGGGGAGCGAACAGG
rnacentral:rRNA from 1 species